UACGGAGGGUGCAAGCGUUAUCCGGAUUCACUGGGUUUAAAGGGUGCGUAGGUGGCCUUAUAAGUCAGUGGUGAAAUCUCUCGGCUUAACCGAGAAAUUGCCAUUGAUACUGUAGGGCUUGAGUAUAGUUGCCGUUGGCGGAAUAUGACAUGUAGUGGUGAAAUACAUAGAGAUGUCAUAGAACACCGAUUGCGAAGGCAGCUGACGAAACUAUAACUGACACUGAGGCUCGAAAGUGCGGGGAUCAAACAGG
rnacentral:rRNA from 1 species